GAUGAAGAACGUAGCGAAAUGCGAUAAGUAAUGUGAAUUGCAGAACUCAGUGAGUCAUCGAAUCUUUGAACGCACAUUGCGCCCCCUGGUAUUCCGGAGGGCAUGUCUGUCCGAGCGUCAUUAGUCCAAUCUCAAGCCCGGCUUGUCGUUGGGUCGCACCGCCCGGGGCGGUGGACCCGAAAUAUAAUGACGGGGUCUAGCGGACCGUGGGCGCAGCGAGCUUUUACAGCACGCGUCCCGGCGUCAUCUAGACGCGUCUCCAACCAUACUCUCUGUAGGUUGACCUCGGAUCAGACAGGAUUACCCGCUGAACUUAAGCAUAUCAAUAAGCGGAGGA
rnacentral:misc_RNA from 1 species